rnacentral:rRNA from 2 species
CUCAACCGAAGAAGUGCAUCGGAAACUGGGAAACUUGAGUGCAGAAGAGGACAGUGGAACUCCAUGUGUAGCGGUGAAAUGCGUAGAUAUAUGGAAGAACACCAGUGGCGAAGGCGGCUGUCUGGUCUGUAACUGACGCUGAGGCUCGAAAGUAUGGGUAGCAAACAGGAUUAGAUACCCUGGUAGUCCAUACCGUAAACGAUGAAUGCUAAGUGUUGGAGGGUUUCCGCCCUUCAGUGCUGCAGCUAACGCAUUAAGCAUUCCGCCUGGGGAGUACGGCCGCAAGGCUGAAACUCAAAGGAAUUGACGGGGGCCCGCACAAGCGGUGGAGCAUGUGGUUUAAUUCGAAGCUACGCGAAGAACCUUACCAGGUCUUGACAUACUAUGCAAAUCUAAGAGAUUAGACGUUCCCUUCGGGGACAUGGAUACAGGUGGUGCAUGGUUGUCGUCAGCUCGUGUCGUGAGAUGUUGGGUUAAGUCCCGCAACGAGCGCAACCCUUAUUAUCAGUUGCCAGCAUUAAGUUGGGCACUCUGGUGAGACUGCCGGUGACAAAC